UUCUUCCCUUCCAACAGCUGAAGAAGCUUGGCUUAUCCAAAAACAACAUAGCUGGUUGCCUGAAGAAUGAAGGUUUUGAAAAGCUAUCAACACUUGAGAAUUUGGAGUUUCUUAAUUUAGGUUUUAAUAACUUCAACACUAACAUUUUAUCAUCUCUAAGUCAUCUCUCAUCUUUAAAAUAUUUAUAUCUAUAUGAAAAUGAAAUGAAAGGAAGAAUUGAUAUUCAAGAAUUGAAUAAUCUAA
rnacentral:misc_RNA from 1 species